AGAAUCUGUAACAAUUAUAGUAAAUAUUGAUCCACAAUACCAUUUAUCUGCCCAGAAUGUUUUACACACAGUGUGUAAAUGUUUUUUAAUCGUUUGCUGAGCUGUCAGCUGUUAUCCACCAAUUCGUGGUGAAGAGGCGGGCCAUCAGACAGAAAAUGUCGUUUUUUGGAAGACAAAAUAGACAAGGGGUCCUGAGGCAAUGCGGAGUCAGUCAUGAUAGACAGCUAAGCUCCGUCUCCCGGCGAUGUCUCCAUGAAGUGACCCGGUGCCGACGUGUUGGUGCCAUCACGCAUGACGCGACCACAGAAGACGCGGUCGCACAGCUGCCGCACAGGAGUGACAGCAGCAUAAAAAAACCCAAAUCCAGCUGGGGUGAGCAAGCCAGGGUUUUUUUCCACCUGGUUUCUCCUCAGGAAGUGACGCAGCCGAUGCCUUAAGUUGAUAGCUGCUGUGAGGUUGCAGGCAGCUGCGGUCCUGAUAGUUUCAACUGUGGUGACGCUUCGCCAGGGUCGGAGAACCCUGCUGGAAACUGGCGAGCUGCAAAGCGCAGGGAUCAUGUUUGACUACCAUUAUGUGUCGCCGCAGCAACUGGCCGGGUUCGACAAAUAUAAGGGCACACAGACUCAGACACAGACACGCUGCCUCACCUGGGGUCGCUGUCUGUGUGGCGUUCCUGUGUUUUGCUCGUGUUUGUGUGGGUUUCCUCCCACAGCUAAAGACAUACCGGUAGGUCAGUUGGCUCCUGGGAAGACUGGCCCGAGUAUGACCGUGUGCGAGUCUGAGGUGUUGGUGCUUGUGUGUGCUGUGCGAUGCACCGACGUCCCGUCCAGAGUCACACCCCGCCUUGCUGGGAUAGGCUGUGGCUGCCUCGCCAGCCUGAACUGGAUGAAGCGUACAGCGCUGUGGAUACCAAUCCUCUCUCAGUGUAUGUCAUGCAGCUCCUGUGGAACCAGAUGGUUAAGGCUGUACCUUUGUGGAUUGCGCCUAAUUUAUUAACUUUCAGUGGAUUUUUGCUGAUUCUAAUAAAUUACUUCCUGUUGUGUUGUUAUGACUGGGAUUACAAAGCAUCAGAUGUCGGUUCACAACAUAUCCCAGGCUGGGUGUGGGGAGUGUCGGGCCUUACUACAUUCUCUGCUUAUGCUUUAGAUUCCAUAGACGGGAAGCAUGCCCGCAGAACCCAGUCCAGCAGCCCUCUGGGAGAGCUGUUUGACCACGGGCUGGACAGCUGGGCCACCUCCAUCUUCACCCUGUCCCUGUUCUCCGUGUUCGGGAUCAGUCCGGGAAGAUCUGUGUCCGCCUACACCUUUUACUACGUGCUGUGGAUCAUCCUCUUCACCUUCUUGCUUUCUCACUGGGAGAAAUACAACACCGGCGUGCUCUUCCUCCCCUGGGGAUACGACAUCAGUCAAGUGACAUUAACAGGGGUGUAUCUGCUGACGGCUGUAGUCGGAGUAGAAGCGUGGUACAGGCCAUUACACUUUGGGUAUUUCUUUGCGGAUAUCCUAAUCGCCAUGGUCAUAGGCUGCAGUGCAUUUCUCUCCAUGCCACAGACUCUUUACAAUAUUUACCAGGCAUGCAAGAACGGGACGAUUAAAAGGAGCUCCAUCUACGAAGGCCUCCUCCCCCUGCUCUCCCCCUGCCUGCUCUUCGCUUUGCUCACCGCCUGGGCGAUGGCUUCACCUGGCGAUGUCCUGGCUCAGCACCCCAGGCUGUUCCUGUGGAUGACAGGAGUCGCCUUCUCCAAUGUUACAUGCAGACUUAUUAUCUGCCAGAUGACAAGUACAAGAUCAGAGGCCUUUCACUGGCUCUUGCUUCCCUUAUCCGUGAUCACCAUUGGCGUGUCAACAGGACUUGUGGUGAAGAGCGAGAUUCUUGUGCUUGUGGGCUACACUGUGCUGGUGACAGCCGCCCAUGUCCACUACGGAGUGUGUGUGAGGAACUGAGAAUCAAAAAGCCAGUCCACGAAGUGGUAGAGAGAAGGAGCAUCCCAGAAUUACCGUCACUCAGUCACCGUGAAGGAACGUCGUGUCAGGAGAUCAGAGAGGGCAAACAGUUGGCCGAACACUUGAACAUCUGUGUCUUCUCUCUGGAGAAACGUUAUCAGAAGUCAGCACAUUAAUGGACUAAUACAGGCACUGAAGAUUCUUCCUUGCACUGAUGCUACAGAGCUAUAAACUGGAACACUUACUGACGCUGUUACGACCAAAGGGUUUACGAAAGACAACGCAGAUCUAGAAUCCUUGUUUUUGUGGAGGAGGUAUCCAUGACAGCUGUUACUAGUUGUCUUGUGUGGAAAAGCAUGGUUACUUCUCAGGUAAGCGAAAUACAGAUUCUAAAGUGAAAGUUUGUGAAGAGCAUAUGCGCUCUAACAGCCAGGAAAGUGUGUGCUCUCUGGGAAACAUCUGUAUUCCGUUAAUAGUUUUAGAAAUAAUAUUUACAUAAUGCUGCAAAUAGAUAAUUUACGAAUGAGUGCAAGUCAAGAUCAUGGCUUUUGGCAAGAAUCGUUUUUCUCAUUCCUAAUAAGCAGCUACAUUGUUGGCUGUGAACAGCAUUCUACUGCCAACAUCUGAGAAACGCAUAGCACAGACGAGCUGAAACAACCCACACGAACUCCAGCUUCAUGGGAACUUAAAAAAAUGAGCUGAAGUGUAUUUUUAGAGCAGAGACCUAGUUCUCAUGAAUUUCGUUUUAGCCAUUUCAUUUUGACUUAUCGGCUACUUCCAGAACCCAUUAGCAUUCCCUGGAGACGAUAUUCCUUACUCCUGGUGAAUAAGGCAUGGCGAUUCUUUUUAAAAAGGCACAUUUAGGAAUCAUACUAGGCAUUAGGUAUGGGAUUGUUUGACUUUGGGAAUCUCUCUGCUUCAUCCCAUAUUACUUUUAAUUUGAAAAGAUCAAGGCUAUCAGAACCGGCACCAAACCUUCUGUUAGGUGCGGUUCCCUCCAGAUGUUUCCUAAAUAAGCCGCUUGAAAUUAAAUCAGUCCUACAUCUCAAGAUAUUCACACCAUCCAAAAAGAAAAGUAGGAAGCAACAUUUUGUCUCUUUAGGGAUGUUUUUUUGCCAAAACCUAUUAACAUCCAAAAUUCGAGAAGGAUUUCCCCCCAUCAGUCAGAUGAAGGAAUUGUUGCUCUUGUUUAAUUUUAAGUGUUAUUUUUUUAGAUAGCAUAAAAAAAACAGUAGAUGACUAGUGUAGAUUUUCUUAUAAUCUGGGGUGUCUGUGUGGAUGUCCUUUGUCUUCUUACUCUCCGAGUACAUUUUCACCCCAUGGUCAAAACCUCAGACCCAGAGAACAGUACUUCUGCUCAAAAGAGUCUGGCUCCAGGGUGGACUAACUAAAGAUCUUUGCUUGGUUGGGAACAGUCCAUCCAAGCAAGAACAGGCCCAAGUGCGUAGACAGGGGGAUAAAAAAAAAACAAGACAGCUCAUCAGUACCUCCGUCUUCUUCAGCAUAAGUACACAUACUGUACAAAUUGAUUAUUAAAUCAUUUCAAGCCUCUCUCA